UACGAAGGGGGCUAGCGUUGUUCGGAAUCACUGGGCGUAAAGCGCACGUAGGCGGACCGUUAAGUCGGAGGUGAAAGCCUGGGGCUCAACCCCAGAACUGCCUUCGAUACUGGCGGUCUUGAGUAUGGUAGAGGUUGGUGGAACUCCGAGUGUAGAGGUGAAAUUCGUAGAUAUUCGGAAGAACACCAGUGGCGAAGGCGGCCAACUGGACCAUUACUGACGCUGAGGUGCGAAAGCGUGGGGAGCAAACAGG
rnacentral:rRNA from 2 species